AUUGAACGCUGGCGGCAGGCUUAACACAUGCAAGUCGAGCGGAGACUUCGGUCUUAGCGGCGAACGGGUGAGGAAUGCCUGGGAAUCUGCCUGUUAGUGGGGGAUAACGUUCCGAAAGGAACGCUAAUACCGCAUACGUCCUACGGGAGAAAGCAGGGGACCUUCGGGCCUUGCGCUAACAGAUGAGCCCAGGUCGGAUUAGCUAGUUGGUGAGGUAACGGCUUACCAAGGCGACGAUCUGUAGCGGGUCUGAGAGGAUGAUCCGCCACACUGGAACUGAGACACGGUCCAGACUCCUACGGGAGGCAGCAGUGGGGAAUUUUGGACAAUGGGCGCAAGCCUGAUCCAGCCAUGCCGCGUGAGUGAAGAAGGCCUCGGUUGUAAGCUCUUCGUCGGACGAAUACGCAUGGGUUAAGUACCCUACGUGUGGAGUGACGGUACCGGAACGUAAGAAG
rnacentral:rRNA from 1 species